UACGUAGGGUGCAAGCGUUAAUCGGAAUUACUGGGCGUAAAGCGUGCGCAGGCGGUUCGUUAAGUUCGUCGUGAAAGCCCCGGGCUCAACCUGGGAACUGCGAUGGAAACUGGCGGGCUUGAGUGUGGCAGAGGGGGGUGGAAUUCCGCGUGUAGCAGUGAAAUGCGUAGAGAUGCGGAGGAACACCGAUGGCGAAGGCAGCCCCCCGGGCCAACACUGACGCUCAGGCACGAAAGCGUGGGGAGCAAACAGG
rnacentral:rRNA from 1 species